rnacentral:rRNA from 1 species
AUUGAACGCUGGCGGCAGGCCUAACACAUGCAAGUCGAGCGGAUGACGGGAGCUUGCUCCUUGAUUCAGCGGCGGACGGGUGAGUAAUGCCUAGGAAUCUGCCUGGUAGUGGGGGGCAACGUUUCGAAAGGAACGCUAAUACCGCAUACGUCCUACGGGAGAAAGCAGGGGACCUUCGGGCCUUGCGCUAUCAGAUGAGCCUAGGUCGGAUUAGCUAGUUGGUGAGGUAAUGGCUCACCAAGGCGACGAUCCGUAACUGGUCUGAGAGGAUGAUCAGUUACACUGGAACUGAGACACGGUCCAGACUCCUACGGGAGGCAGCAGUGGGGAAUAUUGGACAAUGGGCGAAAGCCUGAUCCAGCCAUGCCGCGUGUGUGAAGAAGGUCUUCGGAUUGUAAAGCACUUUAAGUUGGGAGGAAGGGCAGUAAGCUAAUACCUUGCUGUUUUGACGUUACCGACAGAAUAAGCACCGGCUAACUCUGUGCCAGCCGCCGCAGUAACAC